rnacentral:misc_RNA from 1 species
AACAGGCCCUGACCUGUUCUUCCAUUUCUGAUUAUCACCAUUCAUCUGAAUAAUUCGAUCCUCGAUCUCACCCAACUUCUUUCCGAACCUCUCAAAAGCUGAAAGUGGUUCUUGAUCCUUUGUCCAUUCAGGUGAGUCCCUCUGUCCGAGGUAAAGGGUAUCCGAAGCAUGCCUUGACAAGAGCUCUAUAAGGGAAAUUCCAACCAAUGUCUGCAGCUGAGGAGUGAUUGUUUUGAGGAAUACAUUAUCUGGAUUUCUCUUCAGCUCUUCAUACUCAGCACUUCCUGGCUCUGGCAUGAAUUUCCGGCUUAAUGUAGGCCGAUUAGGGAGAUAACCAGCAUAAGGGUAUUGCCCAAAA